CAGUAGCCGCGGGAAUACGGAGGGUGCAAGCGUUACUCGGAAUUACUGGGCGUAAAGCGUGCGUAGGUGGUGGUUUAAGUCCGUUGUGAAAGCCCUGGGCUCAACCUGGGAAUUGCAGUGGAUACUGGGUCACUAGAGUGUGGUAGAGGAUAGUGGAAUUUCCGGUGUAGCAGUGAAAUGCGUAGAGAUCGGAAGGAACAUCUGUGGCGAAGGCGACUAUCUGGGCCAACACUGACACUGAGGCACGAAAGCGUGGGGAGCAAACAGGAUUAGAUACCCCAGUAGUCCCUGUCUCUUAUAA
rnacentral:rRNA from 1 species